AUUCCUGCGAGUAUGUUAGCGUUGUCUUCAACUAAACGGGUCGAGAUUUCACACAGAGUAAAUUUAAACUAAAGGAUUACUAUAUAUAUAUUAUACGUAUAUAAUUAACCAAACAAAAUCAAAGUUGGAACUGAAUUAUGCUGACAGCAGUUGUCAGAAACAACGCCACCACUGGCAGUCGAAGGCCACUGCAGAUGAUCAUAACGCUGCCAAUCCGACAAAUGACCUUUUUUUUUUUCAGUCAUUUCUUCGUAUCAUUAACAUCAUCAUUUGGAGCGAGAUUUAUGUUCAGCCUUCAGUCUUUGUGGAACACUGACAGAGAAAGUGGUCAAACCAGUCUGACCGCUCAACCUGUCUGUCUGUGUGUGUCUGUGUGUGUGUCUGUGUGUGUCUGUGUGUGUGUGUGGUUUGCCUUUCAUUCACUCUACAUAUUAUCUGUGCUUCAGACGUUGACAAGAUUAUGGGUUUUCUCCGAAGUGAUAAACUUGUCUGACAGGCUCGUGGUUACGGGAAUUAGCGAGCGAGGACUCGAGGCCGGAUCCACGUAAUCCAGAGAACGCAGCGUCGGGCGAGCAGUGGAGCUGACCCUGAAACAAACGCAGGUCAGAGUGGGAAAAGUUGACUGUUGAGUGUGGAGCUGAGGAGGCCGUGCUGCUCUGAUUGUGCUGUUAUCAGGAAGUGUUUUGGUUGUGAGCGUUCCAGCACGAUAGCAGACAGAAAAAAAAAAAACAGAGAGAAAGAGGGAGAAAGGUCCACAGGGAGCAGCAGAGGGAGGGGCCACUCACCUGAGUCAGAACACAGACAUGCUGCGUGGAGCAACACUGACAUGACUCAUCUCUGGGCAACACUGUCAGACAACGGAGCCGAGAGGAAACAGACGGGACGGCAGACGGACCGGGACGACAGACGGACCGGGACGACAGACGGACCAGGACGACAGACGGACCAGGACUGGGUCGCUGAGGACGGUCAAACCCAGGGGUCACACCAGGUGACCUCCAGUGUUUACAGGUCGUCUCCGGUCACUGCUCACGGUGCCAGGCUACGAGGCUGAAAAGUUAAUCUUCAAACUAAA